GGAAAGAUGGCGGAGUGGUCUAACGCGACGGUCUUGAAAACCGUAGUCCCCGCAAGGGGACCCAGGGUUCGAAUCCCUGUCUUUCCG
rnacentral:tRNA from 1 species